rnacentral:snoRNA from 1 species
GACAAUACUAAUGAAAUAUGCUAAUAAAUAAACAAAUUACAACUUCAUCACU